rnacentral:misc_RNA from 1 species
CCAUUGCCUAGUACAUCUGAAAGUGUUUCGCUUUCAGCAAACACCUUAAAUUUACAGCCUACUACUCGUACAAAUGUUUUGCUUUCCACAGCGCUGGUGAGGGUGGUCAACAGUGCAGGCGAGAAGUGCGAUGCCCGUAUCCUGUUGGACAAUGCAGAAGACCAAGUGGGCUACAUCAUCCGACAGUCUUGCAAUCGGAACGCUUGUUCUUAUAAAGGAUAAAGCGCUCCCACCUUUAUGCUG